rnacentral:rRNA from 1 species
GACGAACGCUGGCGGCGUGCUUAACACAUGCAAGUCGAACGGAAAGGCCCUGCUUUUGUGGGGUGCUCGAGUGGCGAACGGGUGUGUAACACGUGAGUAACCUGCCCUUGACUUUGGGAUAACUUCAGGAAACUGGGGCUAACACCGGAUAGGAGCUCCUGCUGCAUGGUGGGGGUUGGAAAGUUUCGGCGGUUGGGGAUGGACUCGCGGCUUAUCAGCUUGUUGGUGGGGUAGUGGCUUACCAAGGCUUUGACGGGUAGCCGGCCUGAGAGGGUGACCGGCCACAUUGGGACUGAGAUACGGCCCAGACUCCUACGGGAGGCAGCAGUGGGGAAUAUUGCACAAUGGGCGGAAGCCUGAUGCAGCAACGCCGCGUGCGGGAUGACGGCCUUCGGGUUGUAAACCGCUUUCGCCUGUGACGAAGCGUGAGUGACGGUAAUGGGUAAAGAAGCACCGGCUAACUACGUG